CUGCUGCCUCCCGUAGGAGUUUGGGCCGUGUCUCAGUCCCAAUGUGGCCGUCCACCCUCUCAGGCCGGCUACUGAUCGCUGCCUUGGUGGGCCGUUACCCCGCCAACUAGCUAAUCAGACGCGGAUCCAUCGUAUACCACCGGAUUUUUCACACUGCCCCAUGCGGAGCCGUGCGCUUAUGCGGUAUUAGCACCUAUUUCUAAGUGUUAUCCCCCGGUAUACGGCAGGUUAUCCACGCGUUACUCACCCGUCCGCCA
rnacentral:rRNA from 1 species